GAUGAAGAACGUAGCGAAAUGCGAUAAGUAGUGUGAAUUGCAGAAUUCAGUGAAUCAUCGAAUCUUUGAACGCACAUUGCGCCCGCCAGCAUUCUGGCGGGCAUGCCUGUUCGAGCGUCAUUUCAACCCCUCAGGCCCUGGUGCCUGGCGUCGGGGCUCUCCCUCGCGGGAGGCCCCCAGAGACAGUGGCGGACCCGCCGCGGCUCCGAGCGCAGUAGUAAAAUAUCUCGCUUAGGAGGCCCGCGGAGGAGCUUUCCGGCCGUAAAACCAGGUCUGCAAAGACCGACCCCACCAAGGUUGACCUCGGAUCAGGUAGGAAUACCCGCUGAACUUAAGCAUAUCAAUAAGCGGAGGA
rnacentral:misc_RNA from 1 species